rnacentral:rRNA from 1 species
AUUGAACGCUGGCGGCAUGCCUUACACAUGCAAGUCGAACGGCAGCACGGGUGCUUGCACCUGGUGGCGAGGGGCGAACGGGUGAGUAAUACAUCGGAACAUGUCCUGAAGUGGGGGAUAGCCCGGCGAAAGCCGGAUUAAUACCGCAUACGAUCUACGGCUGAAAGCGGGGGACGUGCAGGCCUCGCGCUAUAGGGGUGGCAGAUGUCGGAUUAGCUAGUUGGUGGGGGAAAGGCCUACCAAGGCGACGAUCAGUAGCUGGUCUGAGAGGACGACCAGCCACACUGGGACUGAGACACGGCCCAGACUCCUACGGGAGGCAGCAGUGGGGAAUUUUGGACAAUGGGCGAAAGCCUGAUCCAGCAAUGCCGCGUGUGUGAAGAAGGCCUUCGGGUUGUAAAGCCCUUUUGUCCGGAAAGAAAUCCUUCGCCCUAAUACGGUCGGGGGAUGACGGUACCGGAAGAAUAAGCACCGGCUAACUACGUG